rnacentral:rRNA from 1 species
UACGUAGGGUGCAAGCGUUGUCCGGAAUUAUUGGGCGUAAAGAGCUCGUAGGCGGUCUGUCGCGUCUGCUGUGAAAACUCAGGGCUUAACCCUGAGCUUGCAGUGGGUACGGGCAGACUAGAGUGCGGUAGGGGAGACUGGAAUUCCGGGUGUAGCGGUGGAAUGCGUAGAGAUCCGGAAGAACACCGGAGGCGAAGGCGGCUUGCUGGCCCGGUACUGACGCUGAGGUGCGAAAGCGUGGGGGAGCAAACAGG